GAUGAACGCUGGCGGCGUGCCUAAUACAUGCAAGUCGAGCGAAUGACGAGAAGCUUGCUUCUCUGAUGUAGCGGCGGACGGGUGAGUAACACGUGGGCAACCUGCCCUACAGAUCGGGAUAACUCAGGGAAACCUGGGCUAAUACCGGAUAAUCCUUCGAAUCACAUGUUUUGAAGUUGAAAGGCGCUUCGGCGGCACUGUAGGAUGGGCCCGCGGUGCAUGAGCUAGUUGGUGGGGUAACGGCCUACCAAGGCAACGAGGCAUAGCCGACCUGAGAGGGUGAUCGGCCACAUUGGGACUGAGACACGGCCCAAACUCCUACGGGAGGCAGCAGUAGGGAAUCUUCCACAAUGGACGAAAGUCUGAUGGAGCAACGCCGCGUGAGUGAUGAAGGUUUUCGGAUCGUAAAACUCUGUUGUAAGGGAAGAACAAGUACGUUAGGAAAUGAACGUACCUUGACGGUACCUUAUUAGAAAGCCACGGCUAACUACGUGCCAGCAGCAGCCGCCG
rnacentral:rRNA from 1 species